GAUGAAGAACGUAGCGAAAUGCGAUAAGUAAUGUGAAUUGCAGAAUUCAGUGAAUCAUCGAAUCUUUGAACGCACAUUGCGCCCGCCAGUAUUCUGGCGGGCAUGCCUGUUCGAGCGUCAUUUCAACCCUCAAGACCCCUUCGGGGGACUUGGUGUUGGGGACCGGCACAGGGGUCUGCCUGCUUGUCUUGCAGCGCCCUCGCCGCCCCCGAAAUGAAUUGGCGGCCUCGUCGCGGCCUCCCCUGCGUAGUAGCACAAACCUCGCAACGGGAACGUGACGGCGGCCACUGCCGUAAAACAACCCAAUUUUAUUAGAGUUGACCUCGAAUCAGGUAGGAAUACCCGCUGAACUUAAGCAUAUCAAUAAGCGGAGGA
rnacentral:misc_RNA from 1 species